CUGAACAUUUUUGUAGCAGUCGAUAAUUUUAUCUGUCAGUUAGAGUUACAAUUUGUCUACGUCUUCAACUAACAAAAUUAUGGAUCGUUUUGUGAUAGUACAACCAAUCGCCGUCGACCGACUCUUUCUGAUUUAUCACAGGAUUCGAGAAGAGAUUGUUACAAGAUGGUUCACUAUUAAAACAUUUUUUUUUGCAUUGAUUGUCAUGUUGUUGUUGGCCAUGAUUAGACAUCUGGUUGAAUUUAUAUUUGAUACCAUGUUAACUACUGCGCAAGUUGCUAUUGUAACCAUUAUUUUGAAAAGUCUUUUUGCCAUCUUCACUGUCGUUUUUCUAACGUGGUUUGCUUUGGUGUACGUUAACUUUCAUUUAGGUUAAACAAAUAGAUUUGUUUAUUUUAAAAACUUGUAGUAUAAUAAUGUGUUCUGAUUUGUUUUUAAAUGUAUUUUUAUAUAAAACGACACACACUGUGUGCGAUAUUAUUAUAAAAUUAUUAUGACGAUUA